AGGAUCAGAGCCGGUGCUAGGAUUUUUGCCAUCCUAGGCAAAAGAAAAAAUUUGCCGACCCCCCCCCAUGUGACAUCACAAUGCCCCACCCAUAUGAUCUGCCAUAUGAACUAACGCCAGUGCUGCACGCAGUGUGUGUUUACAUUAAAAAGCCUGCAGGGACCGGCUAUAGACACCAGAACCACUCCAUUAAGCUGAAGUGGUUCUGUGGACUAUAG